rnacentral:rRNA from 1 species
AAACGACUCUCGGCAACGGAUAUCUCGGCUCACGCAUCGAUGAAGAACGUAGCAAAAUGCGAUACUUGGUGUGAAUUGCAGAAUCCCGUGAACCAUCGAGUUUUUGAACGCAAGUUGCGCCCGAAGCCUUUUGGCCAAGGGCACGUCUGCCUGGGCGUCACACAU